GAUGAACGCUGGCGGCGUGCCUAAUACAUGCAAGUCGAGCGAACAGACGAGGAUCUUGCUCCUCUGACGUUAGCGGCGGACGGGUGAGUAACACGUGGAUAACCUACCUAUAAGACUGGGAUAACUUCGGGAAACCGGAGCUAAUACCGGAUAAUAUAUUGAACCGCAUGGUUCAAUAGUGAAAGACGGUGUUGCUGUCACUUAUAGAUGGAUCCGCGCCGCAUUAGAUAGUUGGUGAGGUAACGGCUUACGAAGGCAACGAUGCGUAGCCGACGUGAGAGGGGGGUAGGCCACACUGGAAGUGGGACACGGUCAAGAGUCCUACGGUAGGCCGCAGAAGGGAACCUGCCGCAAUGGGCGAGAGCCUGACGGAGCAACGCCGAGCGAGUGAUGAAGGUCUUCGGAUCGGAAAACUCUGUUAUUAGGGAAGAACCAAUGUGUAAGUAACUAUGCACGUCUUGACGGUACCUAAUCAGAAAGCCACGGCUAACUACGUG
rnacentral:rRNA from 1 species